UGUACCCGGGAGGAAGAAAUGCUACACAGAGAAGCCAAGAUGAAUCUGAACAGACAGCCUUUGUCAGUUCCACAGAUUCCAUAAAAGUUAACUCCAGAGCAGAGAAUAAUGCCACAGUCGGGAUAACAUCCGAUAUUUGCAGUCAGAAGAAAUAUGAGAGUCUUGCUCCAUCACCCAGGCUGCAGUGCAGUGGCGCGAUCUUGGCUCACUGCAAGCUCCACCUCCCGGGUUCACGCCAUUCUGCUGCCUCAGCCUCCCAAGUAGCUGGGACUACAGGCGCCCACCACCACACCCGGCUAAAUUUUUUUGUAUUUUUAGUAGAGAUGGGGUUUCACUGUGUUAGCCAGGAUGGUCUCGAUUUCCUGACCUCGUGAUCUGCCUGCCUCGGCCUCCCAAAGUGCUGGGAUUACAGGCGUGAGCCACUGCGCCCGGCUGUAAUUAUUCUUUUCGUGUUAAGCAAUGGUAAAAGAACUGACUGAAAAUAAGAAUAUUAAAAAGUUUCUCUGCUAAAAACA
rnacentral:lncRNA from 1 species